rnacentral:rRNA from 1 species
AGAGUUUGAUCCUGGCUCAGGACGAACGCUGGCGGCGUGCUUAACACAUGCAAGUCGAACGGAAAAGCCCUUUCGGGGGUACUCGAGUGGCGAACGGGUGAGUAACACGUGGGUGAUCUGCCCUGCGCUUCGGGAUAAGCUUGGGAAACUGGGUCUAAUACCGGAUAGGACUACAAGGCGCAUGUUUUGUGGUGGAAAGCUUUUGCGGUGUGGGAUGGGCCCGCGGCCUAUCAGCUUGUUGGUGGGGUGAUGGCCUACCAAGGCGACGACGGGUAGCCGGCCUGAGAGGGUGUCCGGCCACACUGGGACUGAGAUACGGCCCAGACUCCUACGGGAGGCAGCAGUGGGGAAUAUUGCACAAUGGGCGCAAGCCUGAUGCAGCGACGCCGCGUGGGGGAUGACGGCCUUCGGGUUGUAAACCUCUUUCACCAUCGACGAAGGCUCAAUGUUUGUUGGGUUGACGGUAAGUGGAGAAGAAGCACCGGCCAACUACGUGCCAGCAGCCGCGGUAAUACGUAGGGUGCGAGCGUUGUCCGGAAUUACUGGGCGUAAAGAGCUCGUAGGUGGUUUGUCGCGUUGUUCGUGAAAUUCCAUGGCUUAACUGUGGGCGUGCGGGCGAUACGGGCAGACUGGAGUACUGCAGGGGAGACUGGAAUUCCUGGUGUAGCGGGAAUGCGCAGAUAUCAGGAGGAACACCGGUGGCGAAGGCGGGUCUCUGGGCAGUAACUGACGCUGAGGAGCGAAAGCGUGGGGAGCGAACAGGAUUAGAUACCCCCGUAGUCC